rnacentral:rRNA from 1 species
AAUCAACGCUGGCGGCGUGCCUCAGACAUGCAAGUCGAACGCGAAAUUUCCCUUCGGGGAGAAAGUAGAGUGGCGCACGGGUGAGUAACACGUAGGUAAUCUACCUUUGGAUGGGGGAUAACACCGAGAAAUCGGUGCUAAUACCGCAUAAUGCAGCGGCACCUAAUGGUGACAGUUGUUAAAGCGGGGGAUCGCAAGACCUCGCGUCUAAAGAGGAGCCUGCGGCGGAUUAGCUAGUUGGUAAGGUAAUGGCUUACCAAGGCGACGAUCCGUAACCGGCCUGAGAGGGCGGUCGGUCACACUGACACUGACAUACGGGUCAGACUCCUACGGGAGGCAGCAGUCGGGAAUUUUGGGCAAUGGGCGAAAGCCUGACCCAGCAACGCCGCGUGAAGGAUGAAAUCCCUCGGGAUGUAAACUUCGCAAGAACGGGAAGAAUAAGCCGGUGUGAAUACCACCGGCGAUGACGGUACCGUUUGUAAGCUCCGGCUAACUCCGUGCCAGCAGCCGCGGUAAUAC